GGAAGCUGGAUGCGGUGAAAGUCGCACGUCCAGAUUUAACAGAGAGGUGCGGUGGAUAAUACCACCCAUCGACUCUAC
rfam:Geminocystis sp. NIES-3709 DNA, complete genome.